UACGUAGGGGGCAAGCGUUGUCCGGAAUCAUUGGGCGUAAAGAGCGCGUAGGCGGCCCUGUAAGUCCGCUGUGAAAGUCAAGGGCUCAACCCUUGAAUGCCGGUGGAUACUGCAGGGCUAGAGUCCGGAAGAGGCGAGUGGAAUCCUGGUGUAGCGGUGAAAUGCGCAGAUAUCAGGAGGAACACCGAUGGCGAAGGCAGGUCUCUGGGCCACUACUGACGCUGAGAAGCGAAAGCAUGGGGAGCGAACAGG
rnacentral:rRNA from 1 species